CCAGCCGGUGCAUGAGGGGGACCUUGGGAUCCAAUUCUUACUGGUCAGGAGAGAGACAAUGAUGGCCAAAUAUGUAGUUAGAUUCCUCACCCAGUCUAAUUAUUUGUGGAACAAGGUGAUGAGGGCCCAUUAUGAAGCUUGGAGUCAAGGGCCCCAUGCUCUGACUAUUCGUGACUGCUCUUUUAUUUGGAGGGAGAUCUAUGCCCAUGCUCCUGAGGUG
rnacentral:lncRNA from 1 species